rnacentral:rRNA from 1 species
GACGAACGCUGGCGGCGUGCUUAACACAUGCAAGUCGAACGACGUGGCGAACGGGUGAGUAACGCGUAAUCAACCUGCCCUUCAGUGGGGGACAACAGUUGGCAACGACUGCUCAUACCGCAUACUGAAGGAGGGGAUUGAGGCUGCUUAGGUAGUUGGAGGGGUAACGGCCCACCAAGGCGAUGAUCAGUAGCCGGUCUGAGAGGAUGAACGGCCACAUUGGGACUGCGACACGGCCCAGACUCCGACGGGAGGCAGCAGUGGGGAAUCUUCCGAAAUUGACGAAAGUCUGACGGAGCAACGCCGCGUGAGUGAUGACGGCCUUCGGGUUGUAAAGCUCGUUUAAUCGGGACGCGGUACCGGAAUAGAAAGCCACGGCUAACUACGUGCCAGCAGCCGCGGUAAUAC